UGGGGAAUAUUGGACAAUGGGGGCAACCCUGAUCCAGCAAUGCCGCGUGUGUGAAGAAGGCCUGCGGGUUGUAAAGCACUUUUAUUAGGGAAGAAGUCUCUUCGGUUAAGAGCUAGAGAGAUUGACGGUACCUACUGAAUAAGCACCGGCUAACUCCGUGCCAGCAGCCGCGGUAAUACGGAGGGUGCAAGCGUUAAUCGGAAUUACUGGGCGUAAAGCGUGCGUAGGCGGCUGGCUCAGUCGGAUGUGAAAGCCCCGGGCUUAACCUGGGAAUGGCAUUCGAUACUGGCUGGCUAGAGUCUGAUAGAGGGUAGCGGAAUUCCGGGUGUAGCGGUGAAAUGCGUAGAGAUCCGGAGGAACAUCUGUGGCGAAGGCGGCUACCUGGAUUAAGACUGACGCUGAGGUACGAAAGCGUGGGGAGCAAACAGGAUUAGAUACCCCCGUAGUCC
rnacentral:rRNA from 1 species